rnacentral:lncRNA from 1 species
UCUGAAUCAGGAUGGACAGAAAAUAAAAGUAUAAAGGAAAGACUUCUUCGGCUGCGGGUCGGCAUGGAGGAAAAGCAGCUCACCGUAGAAGUCCCAAGUCCGCUCACGGGUGCGCACCAAAUUGAUAACCAGAUCCACCUGCCUCAGAUCUUGUACAUUUAAAUACAUAAGUGUAACAUGAGUACAUAAACAACAUGUACGUAGUAAGUAUAUCUAAUCUCGAAGAAGUAGAGACGAGACGUCAAGUUGAUACUUACUAAGGUCAAGUAAAAUAAGGAGAAUUUAUAAUAAGCAGGAAUAACUCAAAUCAUAAGGAUAAACAAGCAUAAAACAAUAAUUCUUCCUUUAACUUUCCAUCAAUAGUGUCCAUUUAUAUAUUUAGACAAAUAUGAAGUUUAACUCAC